UCUGUGGAGCAGCAACAGCCCCGUCCUCCUUCUCCUCCUCCUCCACCUCCUUCCUCCACCUCCUGCUGCUGCAAACACCUCCAUCCGCACAACGGAGUAGCCUGUGACCGACUCGCCUGACGCGGUGCACGGCUGCAUUCUGUGGAAUACCUGCGGCACCGAGCUGCCUCUGCACAUCGCACGUUCCCAGGCUUUUACUAGUUGAGGAGAAGCUGAGCCCACUCGCCAAUGGCAAGUCCGGCUGCAGACACAGGACAGUCUCAUCAGCAUCACCCGGCCAGCGACUCUGCCGUAGACUCCGCGUUCCAGGAGGCGCAGACAUGGAUCGAGGAACAAUAAAGGGACUGACUAUGGGCGAGAGGACGGCUUACGAGCCAGUGCAGAAAAGUUCAGCGGUGCAAGCAACAAGUUGUUGUGUUUAUGUAUCAUCACAAGUGACAGACAGACACACAAAGAGCGCAGCCGGAGAUACUGCAGCUCGGUGACCUUCUACCUCCCGCCUUCCUCCCGUCUACCGCCCAGCAGCACAGAGGAGGGAGGAAACAGGAGAAAAGGGACCAGAAAGAGGAAAGCGGAUGCUAACACCUCCGGAUGACAGGAUAACGCCGUCAACACUUUAUUCUCAUUAUCUGCAAGUAGCACGAGCAUUAAAAGUGCUAUCGAAGAUUGUCUACUGGAAGUUCAGUCGACCCACAGAUGGCUUUAAUGGUGUGAAAUGUGCCACGGUGCAGUAAGACUUCCAGUGAUGUACAGACCUGUCGGGGAAAAUCGCCAAAAUCAGGUCAGUUUUGCACUCGAGGCAAAUGGACAACUCUGGCCCAGACUGAUUUAAUCAGGGUCUGAUUUACAACCUCCAACCACUUAAUGUCUCACUGCCACAUUCACAUCAUACACUCAUUUGUUUUCCUAUCAAAGAACUGCAGCAGAUCUGCGGAGACGAGGAAACUUUUGGAUUGGAAAGUUUUUCUCCUCUGCUGCUCUCAGAAACAUAAUGACAAAUGGAAAUCACAGGUUAUUGCACUUAACUGCACCUAAGAUAUUACGGUAUAAAGACAAGGUUCUCAAGUUCAAGUUUCUUGAGCUUUUUUAUGCUUUUAUUUCCUGAAAUCACAAAAUAACCAAUUCAAUUUUACUAAUUUUAUUUGUGAUGCCCCAAAUCAUAAUAGAACAUAUAAAGGUUGAGACCUUAGAAAUUAUAGGGCACAAAGUUUUAACAUGGGAGUGGAUGGGAGCCAGCUGUUAUUUAAGGCUUGGCGCUGCGCUGAAGCGUCCGGUGUGAACCCGGCGUUAGUAAAUAACUCACAAUGCGUUGCUUAGCAUACGUCACAUACUACGUUGCUCUGAUUGGUUGUAGGUCUAUCCAAUUGAGCGAAGAGGAAUUUUACUUCCUGGUCAGUUGAAACACGCCCCAUAAUUUUUUCCCAAUGGAGCGACUCCAGACCGAACUGCCCGACCAAAUCUGUUGUGGGCGGGGCUAAGUUCGUCUGGCAUCCAGGCUAGGUGCAGGCACCACUUGGCAGUGCACUACAUAUUACUAUUCUGUAUACUUAUUAUUCUUAUUUCUUCUUCCGUAAAAUUUCGAUACGCUUCUCCUCCCACAAAUUUUGUCGCACAAUCACGAGACCUACAAAUAAACCUGCGGAAUUACGUCGAUUAGUGUGCUAUUAUUCAGAUUUUUGAUUCGUCCCCCGGUUCGCUCAAAAAUCGCGAUAACGCGACAAAAAAUGACGAAUGGGACUCAAGGUCUCUCUACCAACAGAGCGAGAGGCUGAAAAUCAGUGUUUUUAGACCCUUUUUUCGUCACUAAAACUGCUCUCAAAUCCCCAAACGGAGGUCCUCAGACAUGAUUUUUAGAUAUUUGAGGUCGUGAGAUUGUUUCCUUCGGAGACAUGUCACUCUCAAAUCUCUCGAACAUGUGCUUAUAUCCGCAUCGAAAAAUCGAGGAAUUAUUUCCGGAUCCUUCUCUCAUUGGAGCCUCAUGUUAAUUCUGAAGAUUUUUCUGAAAAGAUUAAAACUGAAAAAUAAAACGUAAAUCGCUCCCACGGCUCCAUUUCUUAGCCCUCACGACUAAAAAAUAUAUCUGGUUGUAGUGUAACCUCUUGUGAUUCUCAAAAUGUUUUCAUAUUCCAGAUAGGACUUAUAGUUUUUGAGUAACAAGUACUUGUUUGAUGACAGUGCUAGAGUGUGAAAAUAAAUCGCUCUAUUGAAGUCAAUGUACUUUUUCGGAGGAGAUUCAUGAAAUGAGAAGUACGUUUCUAAACUGCUCACACGGCCUCAUUUUUUGACUCUAAACAAUAAUAUAGAUAUGUACUUGUUCGUCCAAGCCUUGUGAUUCUCACGGUGUUUUAAUUUUUCGGAUAGGAGUUAUAGUUUUUGAAUUAGAGCAUUUUGUUCGGGACGUUCUCCUGAGGUCUGAUGUCUCCCUCUCUCACGUCGCAGCUGUCGUAAUCAGUGACUCACACACGCAGAGGGAGGGGGGCCAAAGGGGACAGUGAGAUCUAUUUUUAGACUUCACAGGUGUUAAUCAGCACUGCAGGUAGUUCAGUUAGUAGAGCAGAGGGACAGUAACUCAACAUGGCGUGUUCCAGCCCAAGUGUGGGUAAGACACAAACAUUUAAUUUUUUCUUUGUCUUUCAGGGGGGAACUGUUGAAUUCUUUAAAUAAUCAACUGUCAAUGAUAUCUAAAGUCAAUGUGAUUGGAUUAGUGGGUCUGCCGCUGACUCAGUGAUCCGCUAGUUGUGAGUUCAAAACCAAUAGAGGCCAAAAAUUACUUUUGAACAAAUAUAUUAAUAUAUCUGGUUGUAGUGUCAAGCCUUGUGGUUCUCAAAAUGUGUUUAUUUUCCAGAUAGGACUUAUAGUUUUUGAGUAACAAGUAUUUGUUUGAUAACUGAUGAUAGCAAAAGGAUGAGAUUUAUGAAAUGAGAACUACGUUUCUAAACUGCUCGCAUGGCUUCAUUGUUUGGCUCUAAAUAAUGAUAUAGAUAUGUACUUGUUAGUCCAAAUGUUGUGGUUCUCAGGGUGUUUUCAUUUCUCUGAUAGGAGUUUUAGAUUUUCAAUCAGAGCAUUUUGUUUGGGACCUUCUCCUCAGGUCCAAUCUGUCACUCUGUGUCACAGGUGCGUGGUUAGUGAGGUCACACACGCUGAGGAGGGGGGCCAGAGGGGGAAAGGUGACAGUGAGAUCUAUUUAUAAACUACUUCAAAGGUUUUAAUCAACACAGGUGGUUCAGUGGGUAGAGCAGAGGGGCAGUGACCCAGAGGUGGAGAGAUCAAGUUCAGGUGAGGGCAGGUCUAACAUUGUUUUUCAGAAGGGGACUUGAACUCUUUAAAUAUACAACCCUCAAUGAUUUGAACUACGAUGUGAUUGGCUCUUCAUCCGAUUCCUGUUUAAGUGUGAAUGAAGUGAUAGGGAUAGCGCCACCUAGUGGUCUGUGUGACAAUGAAGUUUUAGCAAUCGACCCCAAAAUUCUGUCACAUGAUCGGAGUCAUCACCUGAUGAAGUUAAGACUAUUACUGCAUACACACUAAUAGUGAUAGCGCCACCUAGUGGUCAGUCUUAAAAUGAAGGCUGAGCAAUCUGCCCCAAAUUGGACACACUUCAUCAGAUGCCAGACCUGAACAGAUAUAUAAGGGUGUAUUCAUUGAUAGGGAUGGUGCCACCUAGUGUUCAAGGCGAAAAUUAAGUUUUAGCAAUUGGUCCCAAAUCGCACACACUUCAUCAGAUUCCUGACCUGAAGAGACCUAUGAGUGUGUAUGCAGCGUUACUGAUAGCGCCACCUACUGAUCAAGUCUGUCUGUCUGUCUGUCUGUCUGUCUGUCUGUCUGUCUGUCUGUCUGUCUGUCUCUCUCUCUCUCGCUCUCUCUCUCUCUCUAUAUAUAUAUAUAUGGGUCUGUCUCUCUCUCUUAAAGCAGCCAGUCUGUCUCUCUUUAUCUCUCUUUUAUACCAGCCAGUCUAUCUCUCUCUCUCUGGGUAUCUCUCUCUCUCUAAAAUUGACACAGUCUGUCUCUCUUCACCCAAAAACUAAUAUUUAGUCUGGAACCGGAAAAUUCUAGGCACCCAUUCGAAAUUUCUCGGCAGGAGGAAUUUUCUAGUUAUUCUUAUUUCUUCUUCCUAAAAGUUCGGCGCGCUUCUCCUCCUACAAAUUUUGUCGCACAAUCACGAGACCUACAAAUAAACCUGCGGAAUUACGUUGAAUCGUGUGCUAUUAUUCAAAUUUUCAAUUCGUCCCCCGGUUCGCUCAAAAAUCGCGAUAACGUGGCCGAAAACGUACAAUGGGAGUCAAGCUCGCUCUACCAAAAGAGCGACAGUGCGAAAAAGAGCCGUUUUCAGGUGCCCCGGGUGCACUAAAACUGCUCUCAAAUCCCCAAACGGAGGUCCUCAGACAUGAUUUUUAGAUAUUUGAGGUCGUGAGAUUGUUUCCUUCGCAGACAUGUCACUCUCAAAUCUCUCGGACAUGUGCUUAUAUCCGCAUCAAAAAAUCGAGGAAUUAUUUCCGGAUCCUUCUCUCAUUGGAGCCAAAAUGCUCUUACGGCCUCAUUUGUUGGCUCUAAACAAUAAUAUAGAUAUGUACUUGUUCGUCCAAGCCUUGUAAUUUUUACGGUGUUUUCAUUUCACGGGUAGGAGUUAUAGAUUUUGAAUUAGAGCGUUUUGUUCGGGACCUUCUCCUGAGGUCUGAUGUCUCCCUCUCAUUCUCGCACACCUGCGGUAAUUAGCGAGUCACACACGCUGAGGAGGGAGGCCAAAAGGGGAAAGGGGAGAGUGAGAUCUAUAAAUAAACUACUGCACAGGUGUUAAUAAUUAAUAUAGGUGGUCCAGUCAGUAGGGCAGAGGGAUAGAGACCCAGAGGGUGAGUGUGUAUGCAGUGUUAGCGACAGUGCAAGCUACUGAUCAAGUCUGUCGCUCUCUCUUUUAUACCAGCCAGUUUCUCUCUCUCUCUCUCUCUCUCUUAAACCAGUCUCUCUCUCUCUCUCUCUCUCUCUCUCUCUCUCUCUCUCUCUUAAACCAGUCUCUCUCUCUCUGGAUCUUACUAUCUCUCUCUUAAAGCAGCCAGUCUUUCUGUCUCUCUUUCUUUCUCUUUAUACUAGCCAUUCUCUCUCUCUCUCUCUGGGUCUCUCUCUGUCUCUCUCUCAAAUUGACACAGUCUGUCUCUCUUCCCAAAAAAAUAAAAAUGUUUAGUCUGGAACCGGCAAAUUCUAGGCACCCAUUCGAAAUUUCUCGGCAGGAGGAAUUUUCUAGUUGUCACUACUGUAUACUGAUGUUCCUGUCUCUGUUCUGUCCACCACAUUGAAACCUAAAAAUUGACAGUCUCUGAGUCCCUAUCAUAACCUAACUGAAACCGGCCGUUUAAAACGACUACAAGUCGCUUUCACUUCAGAACUACAAUGGCACUUAGUACGGCACAGUCGUCUACCAAGGCCCAACAGUUCCCUUAAAUCUAAUCAAGCAGCACCAAAUUUCCCAAUUUAUUUUGUUUUGAGAUAUAAGAACACAUGGCAAGACAAAUGCAUUUGUGGUCUUUUUAUCAUCUGCAGAACACUGUGUUGUUGGUUGAUGUUGGCGUGUGGGCUUGUAUCUUAAAAGAGAAUAAAGACAAAGAUUCUUCCUUGGAGAAAUCAACUGUCAGUAAGUGUCUGUGCUUCCAGACAAGUAUGAAGCAAGAGAGAAAAUACCAGAACCUUCAACUAUUACUACCUGUCAUUUAAAACAAGGUGACCUCUUAUUGUAUAUUUCUAUUCCAAUUACUUUCAACAUUCUAUUGCCAGCCAACAGUUUGUGAUAGAGUUUGUCAAUCAAAAAUUUAGCAAAUAAAAUAUAGCUUUUUUUUUUUAAAGUUUUGUCUAAUGCAUGAAUGUAAUAUCCCAGACGGAUCUGAUAUGACAAUAUUGAUAAUACUUAGCUUUUUACUUUACGACAUGAUAAAUAUGCAAAUGUAGCCGAACAGUGAGAAGUUUUAGUCCCAUUUUAUUUAAUGCUUAAAGCAGAUGACUAAUCCAUUUUCCUCAUAAUAUGUUUAUGAACACGUGUGUGUCUGUCCCCAUUUCUCUGGAAGAUUUCAUCAGACUGUUCCUGUUACUGUUAAGAAAAACAGGUUGUACACUUUUUAUUUUUGCCACACCCAAAUCCUGACAUGUGUCUAUCGCAAAGUGUUUGCAUAUAAAUAUGAGCUCUAGGUCCUCGUACAGAUCACUGGGUUUCCUUAUUCCAUGCAGCCAGAGGACAGGAGUUCAUGACCCUCAGUUUCCUUCCAGAAAAGAUCCUUCAUUACUUCUGUAGGACGAGAGCUCACUGUAAACAUGGUUGAUAGAAGCAUUGCACUGGAGGCUCUGGGAGCACUCUGCACUGGCAACGUGACGUCUGUCCAGCAACAAGCAUCACCAGCUGGUUUGUCCAGAAGGAACCUUCAAGUGGGACCACGGCAGAAUCUGUCCAUCAAGCUUCUCAUCCCGACUGUCAUUGAUGGAGAUGAACACUCGUAAUUAGUGGAGCUUUUCUUACCAUAAAUCAUGAGAUCAGAUUUUAUUGUUUUAUUUAGAGGAGAUGAAGUAAAAAAUCAUGAUUAAAAAGUAAAUGUUAAGAUGUGUUUUCAAAAAGCUCAACUAAAGAUGUGUUGUUUAGUUAAAGCAGCUGAUCGACCUGAGCUCUCCGCUCAUCAGGUGGAGUCCAGAAGACAAGAAGGAAAACAACGCUCAUCAACCUCUCCUUCUGAUCCACAUCCUCCUGAACACGUGGACCUGCUGGCCUCUGCAGUAAACUGGACUCAUCAGGUUUCUGUCUCCAGAAACUGAUGAUGAUCCAGUUAAGACGACAACAGAGUUUUGAAUCAGUGAAAUCUUUACUGAAUUCUGAGUAUUAUGUUUUAAAUUAUGAAAAUAUUCAGAGGAUGCUGAGGUUUUUCUGCACCUGACUGUACUUUUCAUCGUCUCUGUCUCUGGGCUCUUAUUAAUGUUUGAAUAAAUGUUGUUAUUGUCACUACUGUAUACUGAUGUUCUUGUCUCUAUUCUGUCCACCACAUUGAAACCUGAUAAUUGACAGUUUCUGAGCCCCUAUCAUAACCUAACUGAAACCGGCCGUUUAAAACGACUACAAGUCGUUUUCACUUCAGAACUACAAUGGCACUUAGUACGGCACAGUCGUCCACCAAGGCCCAACAGUUCCCUUAAAUCUAAUCAAGCAGCACCAAAUUUCCCAAUUUAUUUUGUUUUGAGAUAUAAGAACACAUGGCAAGACAAAUGCAUUUGUGGUCUUUUUAUCAUCUGCAGAACACUGUGUUGUUGGUUGAUGUUGGCGUGUGGGCUUGUAUCUUUAAAGAGAAUAAAGACAAAGAUUCUUCCUUGGAGAAAUCAACUGUCAGUAAGUGUCUGUGCUUCCAGACAAGUAUGAAGCAAGAGAGAAAAUACCAGAACCUUCAACUAUUACUACCUGUCAUUUAAAACAAGGUGACCUCUUAUUGUAUAUUUCUAUUCCAAUUACUUUCAACAUUCUAUUGCCAGCCAACAGUUUGUGAUAGAGUUUGUCAAUCAAAAAUUUAGCAAAUAAAAUAUAGCUUUUUUUUAAAAAAGUUUUGUCUAAUGCAAGAAUAUAAUAUCCCAGACGGAUCUGAUAUGACAAUAUUGAUAAUACUUAGCUUUUUAAUUUACGACAUGAUAAAUAUGCACAUGUAGCCGAACAGUGAGAAGUUUUAGUCCCAUUUUAUUUAAUGCUUAAAGCAGAUGACUAAUCCAUUUUCCUCAUAAUAUGUUUAUGAACACGUGUGUGUCUGUCCCCAUUUAUCUGGAACAUUUCAUCACACUGAUCCUGUUACUGUUAAGAAAAACAGGUUGUACACUUUUUAUUUUUGCCACACCCAAAUCCUGACAUGUGUCUAUCGCAAAGUGUUUGCAUAUAAAUAUGAGCUCUAGGUCCUCGUACAGAUCACUGGGUUUCCUUAUUCCAUGCAGCCAGAGGACAGGAGUUCAUGACCCUCAGUUUCCUUCCAGAAAAGAUCCUUCAUUACUUCUGUAGGACGAGAGCUCACUGUAAACAUGGUUGAUAGAAGCAUUGCACUGGAGGCUCUGGGAGCACUCUGCACUGGCAACGUGACGUCUGUCCAGCAACAAGCAUCACCAGCUGGUUUGUCCAGAAGGAACCUUCAAGUGGGACCACGGCAGAAUCUGUCCAUCAAGCUUCUCAUCCCGACUGUCAUUGAUGGAGAUGAACACUCGUAAUUAGUGGAGCUUUUCUUACCAUAAAUCAUGAGAUCAGAUUUUAUUGUUUUAUUUAGAGGAGAUGAAGUAAAAAAUCAUGAUUAAAAAGUAAAUGUUAAGAUGUGUUUUCAAAAAGCUCAACUAAAGAUGUGUUGUUUAGUUAAAGCAGCUGAUCGACCUGAGCUCUCCGCUCAUCAGGUGGAGUCCAGAAGACAAGAAGGAAAACAACGCUCAUCAACCUCUCCUUCUGAUCCACAUCCUCCUGAACACGUGGACCUACUGGCCUCUGCAGUAAACUGGACUCAUCAGGUUUCUGUCUCCAGAAACUGAUGAUGAUCCAGUUAAGACGACAACAGAGUUUUGAAUCAGUGAAAUCUUUACUGAAUUCUGAGUAUUAUGUUUUAAAUUAUGAAAAUAUUCAGAGGAUGCUGAGGUUUUUCUGCACCUGACUGUACUUUUCAUCGUCUCUGUCUCUGGGCUCUUAUUAAUGUUUGAAUAAAUGUUGUUAUUGUCACUACUGUAUACUGAUGUUCCUGUCUCUGUUCUGUCCACCACAUUGAAACCUGAUAAUUGACAGUUUCUGAGCCCCUAUCAUAACCUAACUGAAACCGGCCGUUUAAAACGACUACAAGUCGCUUUCACUUCAGAACUACAAUGGCACUUAGUACAGCACAGUCGUCCACCAAGGCCCAACAGUUCCCUUAAAUCUAAUCAAGCAGCACCAAAUUUCCCAAUUUAUUUUGUUUUGAGAUAUAAGAACACAUGGCAAGACAAAUGCAUUUGUGGUCUUUUUAUCAUCUGCAGAACACUGUGUUGUUGGUUGAUGUUGGCGUGUGGGCUUGUAUCUUAAAAGAGAAUAAAGACAAAGAUUCUUCCUUGGAGAAAUCAACUGUCAGUAAGUGUCUGUGCUUCCAGACAAGUAUGAAGCAAGAGAGAAAAUACCAGAACCUUCAACUAUUACUACCUGUCAUUUAAAACAAGGUGACCUCUUAUUGUAUAUUUAUAUUCCAAUUACUUUCAACAUUCUAUUGCCAGCCAACAGUUUGUGAUAGAGUUUGUCAAUCAAAAAUUUAGCAAAUAAAAUAUAGCUUUUUUUUUUUUAAAGUUUUGUCUAAUGCAUGAAUGUAAUAUCCCAGACGGAUCUGAUAUGACAAUAUUGAUAAUACUUAGCUUUUUAAUUUACGACAUGAUAAAUAUGCAAAUGUAGCCGAACAGUGAGAAGUUUUAGUCCCAUUUUAUUUAAUGCUUAAAGCAGAUGACUAAUCCUUUUUCCUCAUAAUAUGUUUAUGAACACGUGUGUGCCUGUCCCCAUUUCUCUGGAACAUUUCAUCACACUGAUCCUGUUACUAUGAUAAGAAAACCGGUUGUAAACUUUUUAUUUUUGCCACACCCAAAUCCUGACCUGUGUGUAUCACAAAGUGUUUGCAUACAAAUAUGAGCUCUAGGUCCUCGUACAGAUCACUGGGUUUCCUUAUUCCAUGCAGCCAGAGGACAGGAGUUCAUGACCCUCAGUUUCCUUCCAGAAAAGAUCCUUCAUUACUUCUGUAGGACGAGAGCUCACUGUAAACAUGGUUGAUAGAAGCAUUGCACUGGAGGCUCUGGGAGCACUCUGCACUGGCAACGUGACGUCUGUCCAGCAACAAGCAUCACCAGCUGGUUUGUCCAGAAGGAACCUUCAAGUGGGACCACGGCAGAAUCUGUCCAUCAAGCUUCUCAUCCCGACUGUCAUUGAUGGAGAUGAACACUCGUAAUUAGUGGAGCUUUUCUUACCAUAAAUCAUGAGAUCAGAUUUUAUUGUUUUAUUUAGAGGAGAUGAAGUAAAAAAUCAUGAUUAAAAAGUAAAUGUUAAGAUGUGUUUUCAAAAAGCUCAACUAAAGAUGUGUUGUUUAGUUAAAGCAGCUGAUCGACCUGAGCUCUCCGCUCAUCAGGUGGAGUCCAGAAGACAAGAAGGAAAACAACGCUCAUCAACCUCUCCUUCUGAUCCACAUCCUCCUGAACACGUGGACCUGCUGGCCUCUGCAGUAAACUGGACUCAUCAGGUUUCUGUCUCCAGAAACUGAUGAUGAUCCAGUUAAGACGACAACAGAGUUUUGAAUCAGUGAAAUCUUUACUGAAUUCUGAGUAUUAUGUUUUAAAUUAUGAAAAUAUUCAGAGGAUGCUGAGGUUUUUCUGCACCUGACUGUACUUUUCAUCGUCUCUGUCUCUGGGCUCUUAUUAAUGUUUGAAUAAAUGUUGUUAUUGUCACUACUGUA